UCCUUGCUAACACGUAUCUCCUCUUACUUUCCUUGGACACAGGAACCACAGUGAAUAGGUCCAGUCUUAUGGCCUUGUCACUGUGGUGUCCUAGGAAGGAGACAAAAGAGUGUUGUCCUGACAGAGUCCUUCUGAUGGCAGAAGCAGGGGUUGGAGAAAUAGUAAUCUUGGAGAAGCAGUUUAGUUUGGAUCCAUACAUCACAACUGAUCUCCCAAACAUGUACCAGGCAAACAUGUGCCCAGCAAAAUGAGAUGUGGCUUCUGCCCUCACAGUGCAGGAAGACUUGAAACUAACACAGGAUUAUAAUCAACAAGAGAGGUUACCUCAGGUCCAGCUCUACAUCCCAAGAGGAACAAAUAAAUGCAAUGGAAUCACACA